AGUCGGUGAGGUAACCUUUUUGGAGCCAGCCGCCUAAGGUGGGAUAGAUGAUUGGGGUGAAGUCGUAACAAGGUAGCCGUAUCGGAAGGUGCGGCUGGAUCACCUCCUUU
rnacentral:rRNA from 1 species